ACGCCAGUAGCUCAAUUGGUAGAGUAGCGGUCUCCAAAACCGCCUGUUGGGGGUUCGAGUCCCUCCUGGCGUG
rfam:Verrucomicrobia bacterium 13_2_20CM_2_54_15_9cls 13_2_20cm_2_scaffold_70, whole genome shotgun sequence.